GGAAUCCCAGUGAUUCAAGAUGCAUUGGAGAGAAAUACAGACUGAAGAUAAUUGGUUACCCAUCUAGAAAGAGAUAUAUGAAGUCUGGGGGUAAGACCUGCAGUAAUUUCCCUUAAGUUACUGAUCGUGGAGCCUCUCCAGGACUACAGGCUCUUCCUCAGCGGCUGCCAAGCUCCUCUUAGGGAAGCCGGGGAACUUCUGAAUGCCCAAGUAUACCCUGCUGGAGGCACAGGAAUCCUCUUGGAAGCUUUGUCUGGACAUGCUUUAAUACCGUCCAUUUCUACUGUUGCCAUACCAAGCCGCUACUGGUCACCACUGUAAAUCUUUCUGCUGUUUUUUAUAACCACAAAGUAUAGCACAAUUUCUGUCUGCUUUCAUGCACCUAAAACUAUUGUGGUUUUUGCCUUUCCCGGUCUCAUUAGCUAAAACAAAGAGUUGAUAAAGGCACAGGCCCUUUCUCAAGAAACAAAAUGUUGUCUGUCUUCUUUCUGCAGUGAAACAGAAUGUAAAGUCCAGAAAUAAACGUGUAAUUAAAUA
ensembl:lncRNA LINC03000 long intergenic non-protein coding RNA 3000